rnacentral:rRNA from 1 species
GCUUAGAGAGGGGUCAAUGUCCUAUCAGCUAGUUGGUAGGGUAAUGGCCUACCAAGGCUAGGACGGGUAGCCGGCCUGAGAGGGUGGUCGGCCACACUGGGACUGAGACACUGCCCAGACUCCUACGGGAGGCUGCAGUCGAGAAUCUUUCGCAAUGCCCGAAAGGGUGACGAAGCGACGCCGCGUGUGGGAAGAAGGCCUUCGGGUUGUAAACCACUGUCGGGAGUUAAGAAAUGCAAGGGUGUUAAUAGCAUCCUUGCUUGACUAAGGCUCCGGAGGAAGCCACGGCUAACUCUGUGCCAGCAGCCGCGGUAAUACAGAGGCGGCAAGCGUUGUUCGGAAUUAUUGGGCGUAAAGAGCACGUAGGCGGCUUUGUAAGUCAGUUGUGAAAGCCUUCUGCUCAACGGAAGAACAGCAUCUGAUACUGCAAGGCUAGAGUGCGGAAGGG